CGUGACGUGCCUGCCGCGGGGGACCCGGGCCAAGGCGGCCCGGCGUGUCCCCCGCUCCCGCCCCUGCCGCAGCCUCCCCGCCGCCCGCCAUCCGUGGCGCGGGUUCCGGCCCCGUCUAUACUAGGGCAGACGGGCCGUGCGUGAGCGGAGGGAGAACGUGCGGGUUGCUGUGGGGCAGAAAAGGCCAUUACAGCAAGGCACGAGACACCAGCCCGCUGGACCGUGCAGUGAAGUGGGGCUAUCGAGAAGCCCUCCCAGGCCCAAGGGCCGCGUAGAAGCGAGCAUCCGCGGAAGGAGAGUGGAGGGAAGCUCGGAGAGUUGUUGGCAGCAGGAGGGAUGGCGUGGGGGGAGGGACUCGGGGAUUUGUCAGAGCAGUAGGGUGCAUGCUCCCAUAUCCUCCCGGCUGUCCCACCGCUAGGCCUGCUUGUUCCCCAGCAGCAUUUUCCUUCCUUUAAUAAGGCAGUUCCAGCUGCCUCACCGGGCAUCUUUCCACCUUCUUUUAUUGAAGAUGCACUUGACGCUGUAGCCUGACAAAUAGCAGAUGAAGUCAUAUUCUGCAACUGUACUGUUUGGUGCUUCUUUAUUGUGCUCCAGAGACUUGAGUUGCCAUAAGGGCAGGGGAAGCACUGCAAAGGGCAGAGAUGGAUGGGUGGAAGAAUGUUCCUUAAUCAAUUAUAUGGAAACUGGAACAAUUUCAGAAUAAUCACCUAGGGUGCCUGAUAAGGUUCUGUUAGUCUGUAUCCGCAAAAAGAAAAGGAGUACUUGUGGUACCUUACAGACUUAACAAAUUUAUUUGAGCGUGAGCUACAGCUCACUUCAUCGGAUGACUUUCCUGGCAAAGCAGCACGUUGAGGUAGCCUGCAUAGGUAAUGUUAGGAGAGGGAGGGGAACAACAAUCCGAUAUCUGAUCAUUGAAUGUACUAUUUGCAUAUUUAAAACUUCUCUUUCUUUCUGUGGAGCACUCUUCAAAAAAAAAAAAAAAAACUUCAGGUGCAGUAAGCACAUUACCUGGAUGUUAAUGAUUAAGAAAAUAGUUAAUAUUGACAUGUAAAUGGUUGUGAUUAAUGUAGGAUAAAUAUGAAAUUAACUAAAUUAAAUUUAGCUUAAGUUUGGUAAAGGAAGGCCCUGACUAGCAAGGACGACUACGACCUUGAAAAUAAUGAGUAAAGACAGGAUGUCUUCUUCAAAAAAUAACUAAGAUAAGAGGAAGUUUCUAAAAAGAAGCCCUCUGACCAAUAGGGGUGACUGCAUAUGGUUUUAAAUAAGAUAAAAGGAGUACGUCUUAAAAGGAGCCAGUAUAAACCUUCCCACCCCAAAUACCAGUGUUAUCUUAAAAAUAAAGCCUAUGUGAACAAAGGUACAAUGGAAAAACGGUUGGUAAGCAAGAAGGAGGGGAGGAAAAACCUGGGAAGAAAGGAGGUUGUAAAUCUUAUCUAACUUAAAAGUGGAACUAAAAGUGACCUGUCUCAAAUUGGUUUUUAGCUGAAGUCAGUAAUUAGCAGUGAUAUCAUUUGUUUGUUAAAGGGUAUAAAAUAUUCAGAAGUGGAGGGGUCUUUGUCAGACCCUACCUUAUCAUGGGCACACCAGAAUUAGAUGGUUUUCCCUAGGUCUGGCCUAUUUGUAAGCGUCUUGAUAGCGUGCUUAUGAAUACUUUGUUGUUGAAUGUAGUGACUGCUUAUUUUUAGGCUGUUAGGCAUAUUUAGAGCAAUUGUAUAAAAUACCAUUUGGCCUUGGAUUUAAUAAAGGAAUUUAUGGUUAAAAUAG